rnacentral:lncRNA from 1 species
UGUGUAUUCAAGGAAAUAUGUAGGAGUUGUCUUGUUCUUCCUCUCCCACUAGGCUGUAAACCCCAAAGAGCACUGACUUCAUCUUAAAUUUGUAUUCUCCUCAGAAACCGGCCAGUAUGAAGCAUUCUCUACACAAUAUACUACUAAAUUUUCUCCGGCGCUGAGUGCCUGGAUCCAGCCCAGGAGGAGAGUGGGAAGAACAUGUUGUGUUAUACAGCCUUUCAACAAAAUAGCCCCAGUAAAAGGGAACCAUGAAUCAUGUGGCCAAGUAAUAACAAUUCACAUACCCCAGGAAUUCUAGAGAGAGAAGAGGAACGCUUAUACAACAUCAACUUCUUCUGGAGAAUUAUGGCCCCCAAGAGCUGAAGAAACUGUGAGGGAUUAAAACCAUAACAGGAGAAGAGAAAGACCUGAACUUUAUUCUCUAAUACAGGAAGUCCAAACCACAGGGUGGUGCUAAAAGUCUGG